rnacentral:rRNA from 1 species
UGGGGAAUAUUGGACAAUGGGCGAAAGCCUGAUCCAGCCAUGCCGCGUGUGUGAAGAAGGUCUUCGGAUUGUAAAGCACUUUAAGUUGGGAGGAAGGGCAUUAACCUAAUACGUUAGUGUUUUGACGUUACCGACAGAAUAAGCACCGGCUAACUCUGUGCCAGCAGCCGCGGUAAUACAGAGGGUGCAAGCGUUAAUCGGAAUUACUGGGCGUAAAGCGCGCGUAGGUGGUUUGUUAAGUUGGAUGUGAAAUCCCCGGGCUCAACCUGGGAACUGCAUUCAAAACUGACUGACUAGAGUAUGGUAGAGGGUGGUGGAAUUUCCUGUGUAGCGGUGAAAUGCGUAGAUAUAGGAAGGAACACCAGUGGCGAAGGCGACCACCUGGACUAAUACUGACACUUAGGUGCGAAAGCGUGGGGAGCAAACA